GAUGAACGCUGGCGGCGUGCCUAACACAUGCAAGUCGAACGGAAAGACACUGAGUUUGUGCGGUUCUCGAUUGGCGAAGGGGGGAGUAACACGUGUGUAUCCUGCCCUUCUCUUUCGGAUAACUUCACGAAACUGGGGCUAAUAUCGGAUAGCAUAUCAUGCACCAGGGUGGGCGUUGGAAAUUUUCGGCGGUUGGGGCUGGACUAGCGGGUUAAGAGCUAGUUGGUGGGGUAGUUGUUUACCAAGGGUGUGAAGGGUAGGCGGCCUGUGCGGGUGGCCGGCGACAUGGGGACUGAGAUAGGGACCAGACUCGUACGGGAGGCAGCAGUGGGGAAUAUUGCACAAUGGGCGGGCGCCUGAUGCGGCGACGCCGCGUGCGGGAUGACGGCCUUCGGGUUGUGAACCGCUUUCGCCUGUGACGAAGCGUGAGUGACGGUAAUGGGUAAAGAAGCACCGGCUAACUACGUG
rnacentral:rRNA from 1 species